rnacentral:rRNA from 1 species
AGCGAACGCUGGCGGCAGGCCUAACACAUGCAAGUCGAGCGCCCAGCAAUGGGAGCGGCAGACGGGUGAGUAACGCGUGGGGAUCUGCCCAAUGGUACGGAAUAACCCAGGGAAACUUGGAUUAAUACCGUACGUGCCCUUCGGGGGAAAGAUUUAUCGCCAUUGGAUGAACCCGCGUCGGAUUAGCUAGUUGGUGUGGUAAAGGCGCACCAAGGCGACGAUCCGUAGCUGGUCUGAGAGGAUGAUCAGCCACACUGGGACUGAGACACGGCCCAGACUCCUACGGGAGGCAGCAGUGGGGAAUAUUGGACAAUGGGCGCAAGCCUGAUCCAGCCAUGCCGCGUGAGUGAUGAAGGCCCUAGGGUUGUAAAGCUCUUUCACCGGUGAAGAUAAUGACGGUAACCGGAGAAGAAGCCCCGGCUAACUUCGUGCCAGCAGCCGCGGUAACAC